rnacentral:lncRNA from 1 species
CGGUGGCAGUUCUAGUUCUUAUACCAAAUCAUACACACGAGAUCUAGUCAUAUUUGACUCUAAAAAGGCUAACCAAGCUUCUUAUUGCUUCUCAAAGAUUUGUGAGUGUAGCCGAAGUCCUAUGAGUUUUCAGUUUUGGAGCUUUUAAACGGAGAAAGACUACUUUAGCUUUUGGGAUCCGGUUGCGGUUCUGGUUCUUAUACCAAAUCAUACAAACGAGAUCUAGUCAUAUUUGACUCUAAAAAGGCUAACCAAGCUUCUUAUUGCUUCAUAAAGCUUUGUGGGUGUGGCCAAAGUCC